AUUGAACGCUGGCGGCAGGCCUAACACAUGCGAGUCGAACGGUAACAGGAAGCAGCUUGCUGCUUUGCUGACGAGUGGCGGACGGGUGAGUAAUGUCUGGGAAACUGCCCGAUGGAGGGGGAUAACUACUGGAAACGGUAGCUAAUACCGCAUAACGUCGCAAGACCAAAGAGGGGGACCUUAGGGCCUCUUGCCAUCGGAUGUGCCCAGAUGGGAUUAGCUAGUAGGUGGGGUAACGGCUCACCUAGGCGACGAUCCCUAGCUGGUCUGAGAGGAUGACCAGCCACACUGGAACUGAGACACGGUCCAGACUCCUACGGGAGGCAGCAGUGGGGAAUAUUGCACAAUGGGCGCAAGCCUGAUGCAGCCAUGCCGCGUGUAUGAAGAAGGCCUUCGGGUUGUAAAGUACUUUCAGCGGGGAGGAAGGGAGUAAAGUUAAUACCUUUGCUCAUUGACGUUACCCGCAGAAGAAGCACCGGCUAACUCCGU
rnacentral:rRNA from 1 species